GGGCCUCCCUUUUUUUUUUUAAUUAACUUAUGUGGGCUGGACCCAAAAACAGGCACUUAAAUGGCAGUGCGGACACUCAUAAACAAACUGGCAGCAGCUACAAGCAUAUGCAGGCAUGACUAGGAGAUUGUGUACACUCACAGCAUCAUAACAAAACCAUCACUCCAGAACCAAUCAGAGGAAGCAUCAGAACAGCAACACCAGCUGCAAGAAACAGUAUUGACCAUCUUUACAUCAGCAAACCACCAUGAGCCACUCAACAUCCACAAGAGUUGCUCAAGGCUGAGAAGAGGAGAUGAAAACCCUAAAGAAUUUUCUAUUUAAGAGUUAGAGGAGAGAAAAGAUGGGAAGUAGCAGCAACUAAGCCAGAUUAAUCAGGUUUCAAGAAGUUUAGCGCUCAAACCCCAUCUUGCAAAUCUGCAAUUAAUUGAAGUUUCAAAUUAAGAGAAAUAAAGUGCAUAGGAUUAGAGGGAGUGAAGGGAGGAAGAGAUUAGAGGGGGAAGAUCAGCCAGCAGUCCCCUGGUGUAGUAACCCGACCCAAAAAAAAAAAAAGAUAUUUUGGAGAAGAUAUUUUGAAAAGAGAUAUUUUGAGAUAUUUAUAUAUAAAUAUCUUGGAGGAGAUAUUUAUUUAUAUUACUUAAGGGCUAAGUUAGGAUUUAUUCUAUAAAUUCUCUUAUUCUCUCUCUCUCUCUCUCUCUCUCUCUCUCUCUCUCUCUCUCUCUCUCUCAUUUUCUCUCUCUCUCUCUCUCUAAGAUCCUUCGCCGUUCGUCAUCCGUUUCCAAAAACGGAGGGUACUACGUGGAUCAGAAGAGAAAACUCUACACUUUUAGUGGAUUGGAUCGUCGUUUCGGAGAGCUUCAGGUUUUCAUAAAAAUCGAGGUUUUCGAGAUCUCGGGUUGUCGUUUUGGACCGUUUUCGUACGAUGUUUCAUUUCGAAUAUAAGGUCCGUCCGUGCGUCGGUCCCAGUAGAUAAAAGGACUAGGGUGGUUAUUUUGGUUAGCGUACGUAAGCAUCUAAAUUUUGUACUAAACUUGAUGAAAGUCCUUUUUGGAGGGUUGUAAUAUGACGAUUUCUCUAAGUCCGAAUGUAUGUAAAUUAUGGAUGUAUUAGUGAACUCUGGUAUAAGGCUAGUAGUAAUCCCAAUGGAUGUUUAUGUUUUUCCGCGACAUUUACAUCAUGAUUAUGUAU